UUACUUACCUGGCAGGGGAGACUCCAUGAUCACGUACGUGGUUUUCCCAGGGUGAGGUUCAUAUUGCACUUAGAAACCUUAAAUGAAAAAAAUAAAAAUUUAAGUAGAAAAUUUUC
rnacentral:snRNA from 1 species